AGUGGUGGGGGCGGGGUUUGUUGAAACGGCCGCCGCAGGGUUGGAGGACUUGGAAAAGAGCGAAGAUGGCGGAGUGAGACGUUCCGCUGCCAGCCGGCCGUUGGGCCGGGGGCGAUAAAGCCCCCGGACGGUGCAGAGCUUCUGGUGGGUUUGAGGAAGAACAUUUUCUUUGGCGUCCAGGUGCUUUGGUAUUCGUCUUGAGAAGAAAACAAAAUUCUGAACUCAGGAUUUGGCAAAAGGAAAGCAUGCAAGGGGGAGUGGGAGGAGGAGGAAGGAGCAGAGGAAGAGAGAGAGAGAAUCCUAAGCGGACUGCACAACCAGCGUGGAGCCCAACAUAAGGCUCCAUUUUAAUGACCCUGAGAUCAUGACCUGAGCGAAAUCAAGAGUCAGAUGUCCUAACCAAUUGAUCCACCUAAGGAUUCUCUGUUGUCUCCUGGAGUAGGUAGUCCUCCUUUUUAUCCAGCCACUUUCCCUAUUCUUGAAAUGUGGAUCUCUCCUCUACACAUUUUUACCUCCAUGAUUUGGAUCAGAAAAGGCUGCUUUUCUUUUUGUUCCACUUCUCAGAUUCAACCUUGAGAAGCUCCUAGGAUGCAAUUGUCUUGCUCAGUUCUCCAAGAAGAAAGAAGCAACUGACCUGCUUGUUCUGCUUUUUUGCCUAAUUAUAAAGAAAUUAUUUUGGAAGCUGAAGCUGAUGUUAAAUUUGAAACCGGUGCUUUUAGAUGUUGGUGUUUGUGAAUUCUUUACCUUUUGUUCCAAACAAGAAGACUAAAUAAAUAGCAAGUAUGGAUGA